UUUUUUUUUUUUUUUUUUUUUUUUUUACUGAUGUCCAACACUUCUAAAGCUAUUGAAAAAACAUGAAAAAAAUGUGGUCACUCUUUUUGAGUGACACUUUAAAAGAAACUAAAAUUAUAAUCAAAGGGUUCUUGAACAAAAUAUAUUGCAAAAUAGAGAUAAUGGAGUCUGAGGGACAAAUUGCAGGAUCCUGGUAAGUUUAACUUAUUUUGAAGAUUUAUCUAAAUCUUAACACAUGCAUGUUCGCUUACUUAAUCCCAUUGUUUCUCCCUUUUGAAAUUAGAGUUUAAUAAAUCAUGAUGGGUAUAUGUAUAUUUACAUGAAGGAUUCCCCUUUCUGAUAUCACUUUUCUGAUUUCAAAAAAGUUUAACUUAAACAGGGUAAAAGUCUUCAACUAUUGCCUCAAGUUUAGCUUCAUCCUGUUGAACCAAGAAAGGGUGAGGUUUAGAUUUGUCUGCCUAUGAUAGCUAAUUUUUAGGGCAUGGUACUAUCCCAGAUAAGGUGUUGAAAUACCUGGGCAGAAACAUAAAGCCUAGCUUUAAACCACAGUAGACUUAAAGAACAAGAAGUUGCAUUAUUAUCUACUUCAUCUGAUAUUAAUUCUAAGAAAGAAUUCUUUCAAACUACUUAAGAAUUUGUCACCAUUAACUUUAAAAACUGUAUACCUAUGCUUACUGUAAUAGCCUACCUUGAAGGGCAGAGGUUCCUCCAAUAUUAGAAGGUGGAUAAAGAAAAAUUCUUCUGAAAAUGAUCCUGGCUUAUUUGGCUCUAGUAGUUACAACUUUAAAUAGGAAUUCAGGAAACUGAAGUGCCCAUUUAAAUUCCUAAAUCAGUGACCUGUCCAAAUGAGCAUUAUAAAUAAGAUAACUUGCAGAACAGUUCUAACCAAUUAACUGCAUUUUAAGACUAAGAUUAGCAAUUAAUCUGUCCUGUGUAUCUCUCAGUUUUGUCAGUUUUUGUUAUACCGUACUUGUAUGAAAUAAUUUUUUCCCAGGUAUAUAAGAUAUCCUAGAGCAUUACAGAUUUUUAAAGACGAGGACUUGAAAAGCUUCCAGUGGUUUCUGUUUAAAGGAUAUCUUUCUCAAUAAAAUCACAACUAUUGUUUUCACAGAUCCAAACAUCACAAGUAGGACAAUAUGAUCGGAGAUUGAUGUAUGAUUGCUACCCAACAAUCAGCAAAAGGGAUAAUCACGACUUGUGAAACUUCAGAGGUACCCUGAAAGUCAUUUCCUAAAGUUAGUGCAUGUGAGUCUUCUUCCUUGAAUUGUGCAGAAUCAAUUGGAUUGGGGAAUAGCAUAUUUUGGGGAAUAGCAAGUGAAGUGGUAUGAUGAUGGCAGAGAAAGUGAUCUUGAAAUGUAACAAGAAACAAGUUUUCUUUCUCCACUUUACUGCCCUGCUAUUUGGGUCAAGAGGUUGCUAUGAUAGAUCUCCUUGUGCCAGGCCAAGAUUGGCCAACUGAAAUAGAGUUCUCAAAGAGCUGAAAUAUAUAAAUUGUGUAUGAGUGCCUAUUUUUUUCCUCCUUCUUUCCUUUACUAUCUUAAUACCCUUUCUACUUCUGAAAUAAUUCAUCUGUUUUGCUCUAUGACCAGCUUUAAUUUCAGUUUAAGAAUAAUAGCAACCCUAGAAAGUGAUAGAAAAGAGCAUUGAGAUACAUUUUUUUAAUAAAGACACUAAAAGCAAUCUAGCAUAGGGUUGAACUGAAUUUCCAUCAAAGAAAGUUAUUGUUUUAUAGGCUAAUUAUGCUAAAACUAUUUGAUUCUAAAAACCAUGUCUUCAGUUUCAAAAGCUUCACUUUUGAAACUCCUUAAAAGGGAUACUCCUUAAAAAGGCAUAUUAACAUAGAUGGGAAAAUACAAAAUAUUUCUGAAAGAAUUAUUCAGUAUUAUUCAAUAUUUAAUUUUAUGUUUGUUAUUGUACCACAAGGAUAGCAUCAUUCUUGGAUUAAAAUGUUGGAUUUUUUUUUUGUUAACAUACUUAAAACUGUAACCAGUGGUAACACUCUUAGUAUUUUUUAUUAUAGAUUAUAUUUUAUUUCAAUAAAAUUUGAUAUUUAGACCAAAAAGUCUUUCUGCUAUGUAUAUUCAUCUCAUUAAGCUGCUUCUUACAAAUUUAAGAUGAGUGGGGAAAAUAAGGAAUUAACAUUGAUUCACAUUUAACUAGGAUUAACUCUUAGCAUACUUGGACCAAUUCUUGAUAAAGACAGUGUUUUUCCCUCAACAGACAGUGAACAAAGAAACAACUCUAAAUCAUACAGUAGUUUUAACUACUAAUGGUAGAGUUCUUAUAUCUGAUACUUCUCUUGGAAGAAAGUUAGAGGGACCUGAGAAGGUAACAUUUUCUCUUUACACCAAGCUAAUUCUAAUAUAAACUUUUGCCUAACAGUUUUUGUCAGCCAAUGUCUGGCAUUGCUCUGUGAAAGCUUUCUUAGACUCCCCAGGCUUCUAAGCAGAAUUAAUCACUCUACAUAGUGUUUUGCAGACUUCUCCUCAUUAUUGUGCCUAAGCUCUAGACUAUGAGCAUUUUAAGAACAGAGAACAUGUUUUAUUUAUCUUGAUUUUCUUGACACAUUACAUGAUAAUUGGCACUUUAAACAAAACUUCGUAUCUACAUCUGCAUAGAGGAAUUUUUUCAAAUACCUAUAUGAUGUGGUAAGUUAUUGCUUGCCUUCUCUUUAAAUAAGAAAAGUAAGCUGAGUUAUUAAAUUGGUUUUCCCCUUUAGCAUAAGUUAUGUAGGUAGAAGGAACCAAAAUCCUAACCCCUUCCCUCCUGUCCCCACACUCCACUGAUUUUCCCUAGGUAUCAUCAUGCUGCAUUCUCCUAGAACCAAUGGAAGAAAGCUUGGGUAAGAGCAGCCUCAACAAAAGUGAAGCUGAUCCUACCAUUAGAGCUGAGAUCAACCUGGACUCAGAAUGGCCCAGAGUGAAAAACAUGGAACAAACAAAACUUUAGAACACAUAGAUAAUAUAAUCAUAAAUUCCAGGUAAGAUUCUGGAAAUGGUGGCAUAUUCUCCUUGGACUAUUUCAUUUAUUAAGGAAAACUCAGGAAACUAGACUUAAAAAGAAAGACCAGAUUUGGAUCGCCAAUGACCUAGAUUUAAAGCUGUGGCAUUAAAUUUUAAAAUUGACUGCAGUAGACAUCAAGAGCAGGGAGUUCCCAUCGUGGCUCAGUGGUAACGAACCUGACUAGUAUCCAUGAGGAUUCGGGUUUGAUCCAGGGCCUCACUCAGUGGGUUAAGGAUCCACCAUUGUUAUGAGCUGUGGUAUAGGCUGGUAGUUCUAUCUCUGAUUUGACACCUAGCCUGGGAAAAUCCAUAUGCCAUGGGUGCGCCCCUAAAAAGCAAAAAAAAAAAAAAA
rnacentral:lncRNA from 1 species